rnacentral:rRNA from 1 species
UACGUAGGGUCCAAGCGUUGUUCGGAUUUACUGGGCGUAAAGGGCGCGUAGGCGGCUUGACAAGUCACUUGUGAAAUCUCCGGGCUUAACUCGGAACGGCCAAGUGAAACUGUCAUGCUAGAGUGCAGAAGGGGCAAUCGGAAUUCUUGGUGUAGCGGUGAAAUGCGUAGAUAUCAAGAGGAACACCUGAGGUGAAGACGGGUUGCUGGGCUGACACUGACGCUGAGGCGCGAAAGCCAGGGGAGCAAACGGG